GUAAAAUCGUCUUCUCACAUCAUGUUUAUACGGACUCGGAACCAUCGAUUCGUUUGUGAGGUGCUACCUCAGCCAAAGAAUGCAUUGGGGAAACGGUACAACAAGUUAUUUCAGAUGAAUCAACUAAGUUAACCUACACUAUACAGAAAGUGCUUUGAGAUUAAUUGCAAGAAAAGCAAUAACUAAGAACACUGGGGCCGUGGUCUGAGGGCGUUAUUGGAAAACAUAUUGAUGGAUGCCAUGUAUGAGGUUUGUGUCUAAAGAUUACUACUGUAUUAUUUUUUUUCU